UACGUAGGGGCUAGCGUUAUCCGGAAUUACUGGGCGUAAAGGGUGCGUAGGUGGUUUCUUAAGUCAGAGGUGAAAGGCUACGGCUCAACCGUAGUAAGCCUUUGAAACUGGGAAACUUGAGUGCAGGAGAGGAGAGUGGAAUUCCUAGUGUAGCGGUGAAAUGCGUAGAUAUUAGGAGGAACACCAGUUGCGAAGGCGGCUCUCUGGACUGUAACUGACACUGAGGCACGAAAGCGUGGGGAGCAAACAGGAUUAGAUACCCUCGUAGUCCCUGAGCGGG
rnacentral:rRNA from 1 species